ensembl:ncRNA lncRNA:CR43822 long non-coding RNA:CR43822
UCAUAAAGCAAAUGGUGCCGACAAACUAACUGGCCGGAGCCAAAAUGGCAGAGUGGCCAAAUAACCAAAUAGCCCGGCCGACAGCCCACUGACAUUUACAUUCGCCCCAAAAAGACAACGCCAGGGCAAAUGAACAACCGAUACCGAUGGCCAAACAACCAAACAACCGAGCCAGAGGAGUCGAACAACCGACGACAACGAGAACGUUCCGCUUUUUUGCGUUGGUUCCGGGAAACGCAACAAAAUUUCACAACGCACCAAAAAUGUUUCCCUUCUUCUCGACUUGGCCAUCAUCAUUGGCCCCAUCAUCAUCGUGCCCCCGCUCCAUCGCCAAAGCCGCAUGAACACAACAACACCUUGACCAAAAGCAAUAGCCAACUUCAAAGAAUCUUCCAACGGCCACGCCUCGAACACUAGACAACAACAUUGUUGGUUGGUGUUGUUGGUGCACCGAAAG